AGAGUUUGAUCCUGGCUCAGGAUGAACGCUGACAGAAUGCUUAACACAUGCAAGUCGACUGGAAUUCACCUUUGGGCGAUAGUACGGUGGCGGACGGGUGAGUAACGCGUAAAGAACUUGCCCUCUAGACUGGGACAACUGUUGGAAACGACAGCUAAUACCGGAUAUUAUGAGGUUCUCGCAUGGGAAACUUAUGAAAGGCUAUAUGCGCUAGAGGAGAGCUUUGCGUGCCAUUAGGUAGUUGGUAGGGUAAUGGCCUACCAAGCCGACGAUGGCUAGCCGGCCUGAGAGGGUGAUCGGCCACAAGGGGACUGAGACACGGCCCUUACUCCUACGGGAGGCAGCAGUGGGGAAUAUUGGACAAUGGACCAAAAGUCUGAUCCAGCAAUUCUGUGUGCACGAUGAAGGUUUUCGGAUCGUAAAGUGCUUUCAGUAGGGAAGAAAAAAAUGACGGUACCUACAGAAGAAGCGACGGCUAAAUACGUGCCAGCAGCCGCGGUAAU
rnacentral:rRNA from 1 species